AGAAUCAACGCUGGCGGCGUGCCUAACACAUGCAAGUCGAACGCGAAAGUCCCGAAAGGGAUAAGUAGAGUGGCAAACGGGUGAGUAACACGUGGGUGACCUGCCUUCGAGCGGGGAUAACGUCCGAAAGGGACGCUAAUACCGCAUAACAUCCUGCCUUUUAAGAGGUGGAGAUCAAAGCCGGGGACCGCAAGGCCUGGCACUUGAAGAGGGGCCCGCGUCUGAUUAGCUAGUUGGUGGGGUAAUGGCCUACCAAGGCAACGAGUC
rnacentral:rRNA from 1 species